rnacentral:rRNA from 1 species
AGUGAACGCUGGCGGUAGGCCUAACACAUGCAAGUCGAACGGCAGCACAGGAGAGCUUGCUCUCUGGGUGGCGAGUGGCGGACGGGGGAGGAAUACAUCGGAAUCUACUUUUUCGUGGGGGAUAACGUAGGGAAACUUACGCUAAUACCGCAUACGACCUACGGGUGAAAGCAGGGGACCUUCGGGCCUUGCGCGAUUGAAUGAGCCGAUGUCGGAUUAGCUAGUUGGCGGGGUAAAGGCCCACCAAGGCGACGAUCCGUAGCUGGUCUGAGAGGAUGAUCAGCCACACUGGAACUGAGACACGGUCCAGACUCCUACAGGAGGCAGCAGUGGGGAAUAUUGGACAAUGGGCGCAAGCCUGAUCCAGCCAUACCGCGUGGGUGAAGAAGGCCUUCGGGUUGUAAAGCCCUUUUGUUGGGAAAGAAAUCCAGCUGGCUAAUACCCGGUUGGGAUGACGGUACCCAAAGAAUAAGCACCGGCUAACUUCGUGCCAGCCGCCGCGGUAA